GCCAUCUUCAUUGUCAACAAUGCUUGAACAUUCGAUUUCACUAAAAUUAAAUAACUCCUGCUCUUCAACUAGUGGAAAAAGGUAGAAAUACCGCCUCCAUUUAGCUGAGAAAUUUGGGUGGAACGAACGUGAUACCUCAGAAAUGGACAAAGCUCUAAGCAUCCCAGGUGCCGCUUCGUCAAUGGCAGUCUUUAGUUCUCCACUCUUAAUAUCCUUCCUCCAAGUAUAAAAUGAACAAACUUGCUGAAGUGCAGUCACUCCUUUGUCAGUACGCCCGGCCACAAAAGCACAA
rnacentral:misc_RNA from 1 species